UACGUAGGGGGCAAGCGUUGUCCGGAUUUACUGGGCGUAAAGAGCGUGUAGGCGGCCAAGCAGGUCCGUUGUGAAAACUGGAGGCUUAACCUCCAGACGUCGACGGAAACCGCGUGGCUAGAGUCCGGAAGAGGAGAGUGGAAUUCCUGGUGUAGCGGUGAAAUGCGUAGAUAUCUGGAGGAACACCGGUGGCGAAGGCGGCAUUCUGGACCGAUAUUGACGCUGAGGAGCGAAAGCCAGGGGAGCAAACGGG
rnacentral:rRNA from 1 species